rnacentral:rRNA from 1 species
AAUUCGAUUAGUUUGAUCAUGGCUCAGAAUCAACGCUGGCGGCGUGCCUCAGACAUGCAAGUCGAACGCGAAAGUCUCCUUCGGGGGGCAAGUAGAGUGGCGCACGGGUGAGUAACACGUAGGUAAUCUACCUUCGGAUGGGGAAUAACAAUCGGAAACGGUUGCUAAUACCGCAUAAUGCAGCGGCACCUAAUGGUGACAGUUGUUAAAGCGGGGGAUCGAAAGACCUCGCGUCUGAAGAGGAGCCUGCGGCGGAUUAGCUAGUUGGUAGGGUAAUGGCCUACCAAGGCAACGAUCCGUAGCCGGCCUGAGAGGGCGGUCGGCCACACUGACACUGACAUACGGGUCAGACUCCUACGGGAGGCAGCAGUCGGGAAUUUUGGGCAAUGGGCGAAAGCCUGACCCAGCAACGCCGCGUGAAGGAUGAAAUCCCUCGGGAUGUAAACUUCGCAAGAACGGGAAGAAUAAGUAGGGGACAAUACCCCCUAUGAUGACGGUACCGUUUGUAAGCUCCGGCUAACUCCGUGCCAGCAGCCGCGGUAAUACGGGGGGAGCAAGCGUUGUUCGGAUUUACUGGGCGUAAAGGGCGCGUAGGCGGCCAGUGCAAGUCAGUUGUGAAAUCUCCGAGCUU